ACGAGGAGAAGCCAUUGUUGGAAUCAAUUCCUUUCCGUGGUUCAUCUUCAACACUAGAAAUUCCUGAAUGUUGACCUGUUCGGUGCUGAAGGAAAAGCUUCUCAAUAACUCCUCAUGAACUGCAGUCCUCAUCUGUUCCAGCUCAAGAGUUGCACAAAAAAGCGAAUGCCUCAAUUCUUCAAUGUUCUGUUUGAAAGCACACAAACCCAACAAAGAAAUCAGAAAUGGAAACAAACCCAGAAGCCAAAUUCUGGAAAUAUUGAUGAAAAGAAGAACUUUUUUACCAUUCCUUGGAAGAAGUAAGCCCAACCCAGAAAAGCGCUGCAUUGGUUGUCCAUAACAGUUUCAGAGAGAGAGAGAAAGUGAGUAUCAGUUGGUUGGAGGAUUGAUACUCAUAAUGUAAACAUUAUAUGAUGCGAUAUUUAGAGCAUUUUAAUGAAAUGUAAAUAACUAAAAACAAAUAUUGCAUGUGAGAUAUGGAUAUUUCAUGCAUCCAUUUCUGACUUA